UGUGGUAGAAGAGAGAAGAAAACCCACAUAUUCCAAGUAAUAUUCUCUAUGGAGUGAAUACUAAUGUUACUUUUAAGAAAGAGGUUUUUUUGUCUUUUACAAUCUUGCUCUAAAGUGAAGCGAAAUCAGAUGCUGAAUUGGACAAUUUUUUUUUUCUCUUUCUUAUUUUCAAUACUGAAUUAAGUUUAAAUGUUUAACAUAAAACAAUAAGUGCAGUGCCUCAAAAUAAGAAGCAUGGGUGGUGACUGUGAGGCGUUGGUGUUCUUUGGAAGGAAAGUCUUUCUGUCCUCCUCUCUCAACUCUGCAUGGAGGAGCAGGGUUCACUUGAUGAUUUUGAUGUCUGCAGCUUUCCAUCCAUAUGACCGGACACACUCUCACCAUCUCCACAUAUCAAAAUGAGAAGGAAAAACCUGGUAUGUGUGUCUACCUGUCCCUCCUGUUAACUGUGAAUGCCGUCUGCGUGAUGUAGACGUUUCUCUAUGAAGAGCCAAGCUGGGACUACAGCUUCAUUUCAUACGAGGCUGUGCAGAGGUCGUCUAAAGUCUCUCCCAGAGAUGAGGUCUUGCUCUGUCGCCCAGACUGGAGUCCAAU